rnacentral:rRNA from 1 species
UGCGAACUCGAAUGAACGAACGGAGAGAUUCAUCGUCAUUCGCGCGGCGUACGUGCGCGCUCCACGAUUUCCCGAUUCUCGGCCCCCGCGCGCCGCGAUGGCAAGCGAUUGUCUCUCGAGUGCGGGGUGACGGCGGCGGGAGACCGGACGCGUACGUGUCUACGUCCGCGGACGGCGUGCACUUCUCUCUAAGUAAUGCACCGCGACCCGUUCGGUAUGGAGGAGGCGGUCUAAGCGCCGUUCGGUAGUCCGAGGCGGUGUCCGCGUUCGCGCGCGGCCCGUCCCGGUCCGCGACGGUGGCCGACCGUCCGUCGGACGGUAUCAGUGGGAAUCGCGCACGCGUUUAUCGCGCGUCCCGGCCCGACGCAAGGUGGCGUCGUCGCCGAGCUCCUGCCCGAGUGCGGUGUUCUCUCGGUGCGGCGCGCCUGCCAAUCGCAGCCGGUGUUCAGUCUCGGACUGUGCGCGUCUCAGUCUGCGG